rnacentral:rRNA from 1 species
UACGGAGGGUGCAAGCGUUAUCCGGAUUCACUGGGUUUAAAGGGUGCAUAGGCGGGCAGGUAAGUCCGUGGUGAAAUCUCCGGGCUCAACCCGGAAACUGCCAUUGAUACUAUUAGUCUUGAAUUCUGUUGAGGUGGGCGGAAUAUGUCAUGUAGCGGUGAAAUGCUUAGAUAUGACAUAGAACACCGAUUGCGAAGGCAGCUCACUAAGCAGAUAUUGACGCUGAGGCACGAAAGCGUGGGGAUCAAACAGG